ensembl:misc_RNA Metazoa_SRP Metazoan signal recognition particle RNA
GCUGGGCAUGGUGGCGCAUGCCUGUAAUCCCAGCUACUUGGGAGACUGAGGCAGGAGAAUCACUUGAACCCAGGAGGCAGAGGUUGCAGUGAGCCGAGAUCAUGCCACUGCACUCCAGCCUGGGCAACAGAGUGAGACUCCGUCUCAA